GCCCCUAUUCCACCUUCUGAAACUGAUGUUCAUAGAUAAAUGGAUGGCAUCAAUUACAGCUAUGGUAAGCACUCAAAGUCCUCUAAAAAAAGAGAAAGGGAUGAUGUUGAAAGCUCAAUGCACGAAGGGUUACUAGAGGAAGUCAGUAUCAGUACUAUAGAUGCAGAGGUGUUUCAAGAUCCAGAUAAUUAUUUCGAGGAGGAA
rnacentral:lncRNA from 1 species